rnacentral:rRNA from 1 species
CCUACGGGAGGCAGCAGUGGGGGAUAUUGGACAAUGGGGGGAACCCUGAUCCAGCGACGCCGCGUGAGUGAAGAAGUAUUUCGGUAUGUAAAGCUCUGUCAGCAGGGAAGAAAGAAAUGACGGUACCUGACCAAGAAGCCCCGGCUAACUACGUGCCAGCAGCCGCGGUAAUACGUAGGGGGCAAGCUGUAUCCGGAAUUACUGGGGGUAAGGGGAGCGUAGACGGUUAAGUAAGUCUGGAGUGAAAGGCCGGGGCCUAACCCCGGGACUGCUCUGGAAACUAUUGAACUUGAGUGCAGGAGAGGGAAGCGGAAUUCCUAGGGUAGCGGUGAAAUGCGUAGAGAUCAGGAGGAACACCAGUGGCGAAGGCGGCUUACUGGACUGUAACUGACGUUGAGGCUCGAAAGCGUGGGGAGCAAACAGGAUUAGAUACCCCUGUAGUC